CAUAGUAUAAUCCUAUACUUAAUCCUAACUCAUCCUAUUGCUCUGACAGGACUCUUCUUUAACCUUUGCUCUGAUACCACUUCUUGUCACGACCCCCACCCCGUUUCCGGCGGGCCGCCGCGACGGUCCUAGGGUGCGAGUAGGCAUAAAGCCACCAGCCACCGCGUAGAACCCUACUACCUAUCAAUCAUCAAUAGAUCUUGAAAAAUUUGGCAUGAUACAUGCACAAAAUAAUCACUUUUCCUAUAGUGACCUGUCAGGAUUAUCUCAAUACAUACAACACACUACCUGUCAGAGCAGCAAUCACAUAAUCCGUCACAUAAUGAACCUGGACAAUAUAUAUCAAUACAUUAUCUCAGGCAUAUAACUCAUCUGUAUAAAAAUCUGGUUCCCAUUCCAUCCAUGGUCAAAUCCAUAUCCACAACAGGAUCUAUGACUGUAACUAUACACUAUAUACAAUAGAAGGUUUAUAGUACACCAAAAUGUAUAAACCUUUAUCUAUAUUAUACUAUACUAUGGAGCGGCACAGCUAGCAGGCAACCGCUAAUCCUGCUCCUCUCUAUACAAUACCUGUCCUGCAAUCAAAAAUAUUAAACUGGGGAGUGAGUAUAUAAAUACUCAGUGAGUGGAGUAGAGAGUACUAUGCACAUGAGACAAUAUAAUCAUGGCUCGAGAUGAAAUCUCAAGAUCAAUAACAACAUGAACAUGAACUCAACAUAGAGAAUAUGGAGUAAAUCAUCAAUAUCACCACAAUCAAUAUCAACUCAUCUGAAGCAUAUAUGGAAUAAUCAAGUAAACAUAUAUGCUACUCAUGAAUAUGCUCAAUAGAUCAUAAUGCUGGAACAUACAAAUCAGGUGUCAAUAUGCUGAAAUCAUCACUAGACAGCUGUCGGGAG
rnacentral:lncRNA from 1 species